rnacentral:rRNA from 1 species
UACAGGGGGUGCAAACGUUGCUCGGAAUUAUUGGGCGUAAAGCGCACGUAGGCGGUUUGUUAUGUCGGAUGUGAAAGCCCUUGGCUCAACUGAGGAAGUGCAUCCGAAACUGGCAAGCUAGAGUAUGUAAGAGGGUCGCGGAAUUCCCGGUGUAGAGGUGAAAUUCGUAGAUAUCGGGAGGAACACCGGUGGCGAAGGCGGCGACCUGGGACAAUACUGACGCUGAGGCGCGAAAGCUAGGGGAGCAAACGGG